UGCUUAACACAUGCAAGUCGAACGGAAAGGCCCUGCUUUUGUGGGGUGCUCGAGUGGCGAACGGGUGAGUAACACGUGAGUAACCUGCCCUUGACUUUGGGAUAACUUCAGGAAACUGGGGCUAAUACCGGAUAGGAGCUCCUGCUGCAUGGUGGGGGUUGGAAAGUUUCGGCGGUUGGGGAUGGACUCGCGGCUUAUCAGCUUGUUGGUGGGGUAGUGGCUUACCAAGGCUUUGACGGGUAGCCGGCCUGAGAGGGUGACCGGCCACAUUGGGACUGAGAUACGGCCCAGACUCCUACGGGAGGCAGCAGUGGGGAAUAUUGCACAAUGGGCGGAAGCCUGAUGCAGCAACGCCGCGUGCGGGAUGACGGCCUUCGGGUUGUAAACCGCUUUCGCCUGUGACGAAGCGUGAGUGACGGUAAUGGGUAAAGAAGCACCGGCUAACUACGUGCCAGCAGCCGCGGUGAUACGUAGGGUGCGAGCGUUGUCCGGAUUUAUUGGGCGUAAAGGGCUCGUAGGUGGUUGAUCGCGUCGGAAGUGUAAUCUUGGGGCUUAACCCUGAGCGUGCUUUCGAUACGGGUUGACUUGAGGAAGGUAGGGGAGAAUGGAAUUCCUGGUGGAGCGGUGGAAUGCGCAGAUAUCAGGAGGAACACCAGUGGCGAAGGCGGUUCUCUGGGCCUUUCCUGACGCUGAGGAGCGAAAGCGUGGGGAGCGAACAGGCUUAGAUACCCUGGUAGUCCACGCUGUAAACGGUGGGUACUAGGUGUGGGGUCCAUUCCACGGGUUCCGUGCCGUAGCUAACGCUUUAAGUACCCCGCCUGGGGAGUACGGCCGCAAGGCUAAAACUCAAAGGAAUUGACGGGGCCCCGCACAAGCGGCGGAGCAUGCGGAUUAAUUCGAUGCAACGCGUAGAACCUUACCUGGGUUUGACAUGGAUCGGGAGUGCUCAGAGAUGGGUGUGCCUCUUUUGGGGUCGGUUCACAGGUGGUGCAUGGCUGUCGUCAGCUCGUGUCGUGAGAUGUUGGGUUAAGUCCCGCAACGAGCGCAACCCUUGUUCACUGUUGCCAGCACGUUAUGGUGGGGACUCAGUGGAGACCGCCGGGGUCAACUCGGAGGAAGGUGGGGAUGACGUCAAGUCAUCAUGCCCCUUAUGUCCAGGGCUUCACGCAUGCUACAAUGGCUGGUACAGAGAGUGGCGAGCCUGUGAGGGUGAGCGAAUCUCGGAAAGCCGGUCUCAGUUCGGAUUGGGGUCUGCAACUCGACCUCAUGAAGUCGGAGUCGCUAGUAAUCGCAGAUCAGCAACGCUGCGGUGAAUACGUUCCCGGGGCUUGUACACACCGCCCGUCAAGUCAUGAAAGUUGGUAACACCCGAAGCCGGUGGCCUAACCGUUGUGGGGGAGCCGUCGAAGGUGGGACUGGUGAUUAGGACUAAGUCAU
rnacentral:rRNA from 1 species